rnacentral:lncRNA from 1 species
UUUAAUACAGCCUUUUCUUAGAUAUGCUUCUUGCAAAGAUUUCUCACAGUCUAGAGUUGGUCUUUUUCUUCUCUUAACAGUAUUGUCACAGAGUGGAAAAUUUUAAUUCUAACAAAGUCCACCUUAACUUGAUUUUUCUUUGAAGACUCAUUCUUUCAAUGUUGAGGAUAAAAGGUCCUCAUGAAAACCGAGGUCAUAUCUUCUCCUUUGCUAUUUCUAGAAUUUUAAUAGCUUUGUAGUUUACAUUUACAUCCAUGAACAAUUUUGGUGAAUAUUUGUGUCAUGUGGAAAGUUUGUGUCUUUGUUAAUUGUUUUCCAUAAGGUCACCCGAUUGUGGCAUCACCAUUUGUUUAAAAGACUAACUUUUCUCCAUCAAAUUGCCUUUGAUCUUUGGACAAAGAUCAGUUGACCAUGUUUGUGAGUCUAUCUAUGGACUCUGUGUUCUUUUCCAUUUAUCUACUGGCGCAUUCUUACCCCGGCAUCAUGCUCGCUGUACCUUUUUAAAUCCUGGAACGGGGAAGUGCGGCUUACUCAACUUUGCUCUUCAGUGUUGUGCAGGAUAAAGGAUAUUCCAGCUGCAGAAACGGUUUGUAGAUAUCUACAAAGUAUCUGACUGGGACAUUGACUGGGGUUGUGUUGACUCUAUAGGUCAAGUCGGGAAGAGCUGACAUCUUAACUAUACUGAGUCUACUGAUCAUGGAAGUGAAAUAUGUCUCCUAUUAGGUAGGUUUUCUUUGCUAGCUUUCCACAGCAUUUGGUAGUUUUCUGAUACAGAUUUGUCUUUACUUGUUUAUAUUUUUACACAAGGAUUUUAUUUAUUUUCCUUUUGUACCCUUUUGUGAAGGGUAUUUUCUUUUCUUUUAAGUUCCCCUCAUUCAUUGGCGGCACAGAGAAUACGCACCGCGUGUUGCACUUUGACCUGUACUUCUUAUCAUAAUCCACUCUCAUCAAGGCCUGGGAUACUGUGCCCAUUUCCGUUUGAACUUCAGAAAUUAAGGGACUGAACAGUGUGACCACUGAGCUGCUGUGCCUCGGCUUAGGAGUCCCUGCUUAGCCGUAGCCAGCUUGCUCCCCGGCUGGGGCACAGGGCUCACACCGCCGCCUUGUUCUGACCGGGGCCCCAGAGACCAGGGUGUGGCGCUGGGUGUGCUGCCCAUGGAUGCUGGUUCCUGGCCACAGUGAGACAAGAGCUUCCUGUCCCCAGGAUCAAUGUGCCGCUCCCUUGGGAAGAGGAUGCUCCCUGCCCGCUGCCGGCCCAGCAGGGGCCUGGGCCUGGGUGCCUCCUCUGACCUCCUCCUUUGGUCGUGCGCACAGAGCUGCAUGGUCUGGACUGUUCCCGGGGCUUGUUCUCUACUCCCUCAGGGCGUGUGUUCCUGAGGCCUCUUGUGCACAGGAUCGUCCUUUACGGGGCUCAUGGGGCAAUCACAGCCCGCUGUGCUGUGUCACAGGCUCGCGGGGUUUGUGGGAUGAAUCGUGCACAGAUUCAGACACACAGGUGCCCUCGUGAAAGGAUGUGCGAGAUGUCGGGCCUUCCCGGGGAAGGAGCUGGGAACACAGGACACGUCUGGAGACUACAGAAUUCCUGGGCGAAAGGGAAAAAGUGUACAGAUACACACGCACUACAUGAAUUGUUGAUGGCUAAUUUUUCCUGUAACGAGAAAGUAGCUAAAAAAAUAUUGCAAAGGUAAAGAUGACGUAUUAAUACACGUUGUUUCAAUAUUUUAAGUAUAUCAGAGUGAGGAGGAGUUAUUACAGUUUUACUUUCCUGGCUUUAAAGGAAGACAAAUUUAUCUAUAAUAUAUUUAAAAUACACUUCUUUGCUUAUCUUGCUUUCAAAUGAGAAUAUUACCAUGAUUGGCAUUUUCUCAUAACAGAGCUACAAUCUUAAAUAUUUUUAAAUAUGAGCUCGUUGAAACAUUUUUGCAGGAUUCCAAUGUGGCCAGUAUUGUUAAACAACGAUAAUGAAUCCAGGCCCCGACCAAAUUGUUGAUUUCAGUUCCUUUCUCACGGCGGCCGUGGGCAAGGGGUGCGGCCUUGUACUCGGCGCGUCUUCAUCUGGAUCAGGAGUUUUCGCUGAGAGCUCCCUGGACAGUUUCCACUUGCUGCACACAGUCAUCCCGUCAUGGGAACUGCGUACAGAUCUGUGGUCUCUUUGCACCAGGACACUUCUGCUUUCAGCCUGGGGUAUUUCCCAAUUUCAUUUUACAUUACAUCUAAUUCUAAUAAGAUAAUAUGUGAUUUUCAGGUAUGUAUUAUAAACUAACAUGUUUUAUACAUAUGUGUACACAUAUUUCAGCAUUUGCUAAAUGUCGUUAGUUUUCGUGGGACGGUGGCUGGUUGCAUUUGAUCUUGAUGACCAUUGGGGCACCAGUAGUAACCCUGGUGGGAGCACAGGCCAGGUUGUCAGCAGUGGAGAUGGCGACAAGUGCUCAGAUUUUAGAUGCGUUUUUGCCAGAUUCACAGGUGUGACACCUGUGCUGUCACACAAGGUCCUUCGUGCAGAAAAGCCCUUCCUUGAUUUCCUGCUCCAUUGUUGUCAUCUUGAAAUUCUUUUUACUUCACAGUUUUAUUGACAUAUAGUUGAUGUAAUAUAACAUUGUUUGAGUUUAAGGUGUACAAUGCGAUGAUUUGAUACACAUGUAUAUUGUGAAAUGAUUACCACUGUGAAAUGAUAAGGUUAGUUAACACCUCCAUCACCUCCCAUAAUUACCAUUUAUUUGUGGGGAGAACAUUUCAGAGCUACUCCCUUAGCAACUUUCAAGUAUACAAUGUAGUGUGUUAACUAUAGUCACCAUCCUGUCCAUUAGAUUCACUAGAGCUUACUCAUGUAACUGGAAAUUUGUAGCCUUUGACCAACAUCUCCUCAUUUCCUCUGUAACUAAGCAAAAGGGGCGCCUUCUGCUCACCACAAUCUCAUGCCAGUCAAUUGCACACAGGCCUGUGGUUGAGAAAGGAAAAUUUAUGCAGUUAGCUAGCAUAAUCGGAAGAUGGCGGACUAGUGUCCGAAAGAACCACCUUCCAAUCCUACAGAACCUUGAGGCAGUUUAUGGAGGGGAGAUGGGCAGGGAAAGAGAGGGUUUAGGGAUGUCGACCAUCCGGUGUGACAAACUGCAAGGCGCCGAGUUAUCUCUUUGGUCUGUCAUUCAUGACGGGUAGCAGUGCAGGAUUUUUCUUUCUGGAGGUUGUCAUGUUCCUGGGGAACUCAGAGAACAAAGUUGUCUUGUCACAGCUGGAGGAUGUACAUAAGCAAGAGUCUCAGAAUGAGCAGGUGAUGUAUUUUGCACCAGGGAGAGGUGCUUAAUCACCUAGGCUGCGUGCAGGCGAGAAGGUAUUCCCAGAGACUAGUGCGUCGGGGUCCUGGUUACAGAAUUGCUUCCUUUCCUAAGCUGGCUUCCCUCAUGCUAACUUCAGAUCUAGCUGUUAGACUCCCACCACCAGCCCCUGGCAAAAACCAUUCUGUUCUCUGUUUCUCCGAGUUUGGCUCUUUUAGAUUACACAUAUAAAUGAGAUUUUACAGUAUUGGUCUUUCUCUGUCUGACUUAUUUCACCCAGCAUAAUGCCCUCCAGAUCCUUCCUUGUCACAAAUGGUAGGAUUUCCUUCUUUUUUAUGGCUGUAUAAUAUUUCCUUUUCUGUAUAUACCUCAUGGUCUUUCUC